CCCCCCAGAAAUUUUUUGGAUCCUAGAUUGUCUGUGGUGCGUUUUGGGCCUAUUGCCAACCAGUUUUCGUUUGUUUCAAAUAACAAUAUAUACUAUAGAUUUUUCAUAUUUCUUUUAAUGACAACAAGCACAUGUCACAUAUCAUAAUAUACAUCACAUCACAAUUUUCAUCGUAAUAGAUAUAUUUUAAUACAGCGCAUUUUUGCAUUUUUAACAACAUGAUGAAUGGCACGUAAAAUACAAGCAUACAUUUCAUUCACAAAAUACAUUGUUUUGCUGCUUUACUGCUUGCUGGCAUCGACGGCAUGAGUGUGAUCUGAAAAUAAAAAUAAAUAAAUACAUAGUCAAUCUGCAUAUAUACAUAUAGUUAGACUAUAGCAUUUCAAAGUAAUUUCAAAUAAAAAUUCCUCUCAUCUUCAAAAUCUUACCUUUAGACUUUGCAUGUUUCGUCACCGAGUCUUUUUUCAGGAUAUUGCAACCUACAGUGAACGUGUUGGAAUUCUGCACCUUAAUGCAUAGGUUACAGUACAUUAAUUUUUAUUCAUUCUCAAAGCAAAGCCAAUUAUUAUCAACUUUCCAUGACUCUUGGAAAGCUCUAGUUUUUUGUGUUUUAAUUAUUUUGUUUGUUUGUUCAGACUCAUUUUCGUCCAAAGGACGAUUUAAGGUUAAAGAAGUCAUGUUAGCGACUGUACGGACAAAGUUGUUACUUCCAUUUAUAUAGUAGACGACAUGAAUUAGUCUUCCUAUGCGUUACAAAAUUCGUAACUUUAAUAAAAUUUUAAUUGCAAUUAAACCGCGUGUGUUUUUCACGUUUUCCUUUGAUUAAAAUACGCCGCUGUUAGUUAUCAUAGUGUGUGAGUAAAACGAUCAAAUUAAUUAAUUAACACCUUUUCAUUUCAAUCGAAAAUCGGCAGAAAGUUGUAACAUCAACGACACAGAACUAAUUAUUUAAUUAUUACUCUUUAAUUUAGAUCGAUAGUCAGCUUGGAAAUAAUUCAUUUAUUGUCACGCUUAUUUUCAUUUUUAAUCUUAUAAUACGACAUUUGCGACCAUCCGCUAUUUUGUUUGCAGACGACAAUAUUAACUGUGUAUUCAUAGCUCCACCCAUUUUUACGUUUCAUUUAACAACGGCAUUUCAUGUGUAAGCCAGCUCAGUUUUGAUUGGCCAGCUACCAUGUGCACUUCAAUAACAAUAAGGUUAAGCGAUGUCUCGAUACAGGUGCAAACCGGUUUUCGUUCACUGUUCAAAUUGCGAAUACUUUCAUUGAAACAAAGAGAAAAAUAUAGAAAACCAGUUUCGGGUUAAAAUGUCGGCUGUUUUCAAUGAAAUUUUACGAGAUUUUAGCAUUUUCGCAAAUCGGAUUUUUCUUGAGCCAAAUUCUCAAUAUUUUCGCAAAUGGCUCAAGUGGCGAACGACAGCGCGAGCCCUGACUGGGGCAAAAUAUGUCCACACCAAGUGGUCAAAUAGUUUAUAUACAGGUAUAGAGCAACAUCACUUUUCUUCUGAAAACACAAGGCCCAAUGAUUUAAUGUUUGGUACAUAAUGUUGUAUUUCUGUUGUAUCAGAACUAGCCAUUUUGGGUCACAUUUUUCAUAGUUACAACUUGCUACAUUUUACAAUAUGCAGUGUUGGCCGGUAUUCAUCACAGUGACAUAUUCUAAUUUUUAAACUGCACAUAUCUGUAUACAUCCUAUUCACUUGAAAGUUUACCCGUAAUAAAAUGCACAGAUGUUUCACAAUUUGAUGUUGUAUCACACUUCCUGUCAAGAAUUUUAUAGGCUUAAUCCCACUUAACAAUUUAAUGUUGAGUCACAAUUCCGUCAAGAAUUAAAUAGGCCAAAUCAUACUUUACAAUUUGAUGUUGUAUCACAAUUCCUUUCAAGAAUUAAAUGGGCCAAAUCUCACUUCACAUUUUAAUUUUGAGUCACACUUCCUGUCAAGAAUGUAAUAGGCCCAAUCCCACUUCGUUAUUUGAGAUUGAGUCACAAUAUCUGUCAAGAAUUAAAUAGAUUGAAUCCCCUUUGACAAUUUGAAAUUGAGUUUAACUUCAUGUCAAGAAUUAAAUAGGCCCAAUCCCACACUGCAAUUUGAUAUUGAGUCACACUAUCUGUCAAGAAUUUAAUAGGCCCAAUCCGACAUUACAAUUGGAUAAUCACACUCUCUGUCAAGAAUCUAAUAGGCCCAUUCCCAUUUCACAAUUAAAUAUUGAGUCACAUUUUCUGUCAAGAAUUAAAUAGGCGAAAUCCCACUUCAAAAUUUGAUAUUGAGACACACUUCCUGUCAAGAAUUAAAUAGGUUGAAUCCCACUUCACAAUUUGAGAUAGAGUCACACUUCUGUCAAGAAUUAAAUAGGCCCAAUCCCACUUCACAAUUUUAGAUUGAGUCAAACUUCCUAUUAAGAUUAAAAUAGGCCCAAUCCCACUUCACAUUAUGAGAUUGAGUCACACUUCCUGUCAACAAUUAUAUAGGCCCAAACCGGCUUCACAAUUUGAGAUUGAAUAAUAUUACCUGUUUAGUAUUAAAUAGGCCCAAAAUCAGUUCACAGUUUGCAAACUCAGAAAAAAUGUUUUUCUGCAUUAUUGAUUUACUUUUGUCCUACAAGCAACUUGAUAUUAACUUACUGUAUUCAAUAUAUAGGUUGUUGUAUAGUUUUUUACAAAAGUUCAUCAAAAAUUCAACUGUUAAUGGUUGAAACGAAAUGUCUGAAAUGUUGAUAUUAAUCAAAUAAUAUAGCAAUAAAGCAAGAACUUGAUAUAACUUCAAUUAUUUUACUAUAACUAAGUAAUAGUUUCAUUCCAUUGUAUACCAGGUAGUACAAGUGUUUGAAUACUUGGGUAAUUUUAACUAGCCAAGUGUACAAAUCUGUUUAAGGAAAUUUCAAGUGCUGCUUUACCACAUAUAAUUAUGUGCUUUAGAAAUAUGUGUAUUUUGUUACAUUUUUGCUCUAUUUUGUGCUUGUAUGUUUUAUUAUGAACAAAAAUAUUUCAAAUGAAUACAGGUUUUUAGAACGA